GACAGAGGCCCCGAGCGUUAGGCGGAAUCACUGGGCUUAAAGCGUGUGUAGGCGGACCGUUAAGUGCAUCGGUGAAAUCCCACGGCUCACCCGUGGAACGGCUGGGCAUACUGGCGGUCUUGGGCCACUUAGGGGCGACCGGAACAAGCGGUGGAGCGGUGAAAUGCGUAGAUAUCAGGAAGAACACCCGUGGCGAAAGCGGCUCUCUGGAACGGUACUGACGCUGAGACGCGAAAGCGUGGGGAGCGAACAGG
rnacentral:rRNA from 1 species